rnacentral:rRNA from 1 species
UACGUAGGGUGCAAGCGUUAUCCGGAAUUAUUGGGCGUAAAGAGCUUGUAGGCGGUCUGUCGCGUCUGCUGUGAAAAUCCGGGGCUCAACCCCGGACUUGCAGUGGGUACGGGCAGACUAGAGUGUGGUAGGGGAGACUGGAAUUCCUGGUGUAGCGGUGAAAUGCGCAGAUAUCAGGAGGAACACCGAUGGCGAAGGCAGGUCUCUGGGCCACUACUGACGCUGAGAAGCGAAAGCAUGGGGAGCGAACAGG